rnacentral:rRNA from 1 species
UAAGGAGCUUGCUCCUUUGAAGUUAGCGGCGGACGGGUGAGUAACACGUGGGUAACCUACCUAUAAGACUGGAAUAACUUCGGGAAACCGGAGCUAAUGCCGGAUAACAUUUGGAACCGCAUGGUUCUAAAGUAAAAGAUGGUUUUGCUAUCACUUAUAGAUGGACCCGCGCCGUAUUAGCUAGUUGGUAAGGUAACGGCUUACCAAGGCAACGAUACGUAGCCGACCUGAGAGGGUGAUCGGCCACACUGGAACUGAGACACGGUCCAGACUCCUACGGGAGGCAGCAGUAGGGAAUCUUCCGCAAUGGACGAAAGUCUGACGGAGCAACGCCGCGUGAGUGAUGAAGGUUUUCGGAUCGUAAAACUCUGUUAUUAGGGAAGAACAAAUGUGUAAGUAACUGUGCACAUCUUGACGGUACCUAAUCAGAAAGCCACGGCUAACUACGUGCCAGCAGC